rnacentral:tRNA from 1 species
AGAGAGGUGUCCGAGUGGUUGAAGGAGCUACCCUGGAAAGGUAGUGUACGGGUAACUGUACCGUGGGUUCGAAUCCCAUCCUCUCUACAA